CCUACGGGAGGCAGCAGUGAGGAAUAUUGGUCAAUGGGCGCAAGCCUGAACCAGCCAUGCCGCGUGCAGGAUGACGGUCCUAUGGAUUGUAAACUGCUUUUGUACAGGAAGAAACACUCCCUCGUGAGGGAGCUUGACGGUACUGUAAGAAUAAGGAUCGGCUAACUCCGUGCCAGCAGCCGCGGUAAUACGGAGGAUCCAAGCGUUAUCCGGAAUCAUUGGGUUUAAAGGGUCCGUAGGCGGUUUUAUAAGUCAGUGGUGAAAUCUGGUCGCUCAACGAUCAAACGGCCAUUGAUACUGUAGAACUUGAAUUACUUGGAAGUAACUAGAAUAUGUAGUGUAGCGGUGAAAUGCUUAGAGAUUACAUGGAAUACCAAUUGCGAAGGCAGGUUACUACAAGUGGAUUGACGCUGAUGGACGAAAGCGUGGGGAGCGAACAGGAUUAGAUACCCGUGUAGUC
rnacentral:rRNA from 1 species